AUUUUUCUUCUGUUGUUCCUCUUUCUUAUUUUAUGCUAGUAGCUGUCAACAAGGAUUGGACCAUGUCGACUUUAGUGGCGGAAGCUAAAGACUAGGUUGUAUUAUUGAGUUGAUAUAGCUUUGUAGUUGUUUUGUAAAUUCAUAUUUGUUAUUCAUAUGUAUUUAUGUGAACAUUCAUUUCCCUUUUGGAUUUUGAGACUGUGAUGUAUAUUGUUGUGUAAUAUCUCCCUUUUAUUUUCAAAUUCCAACAACCUUAAAAGAACUUCAUAAUUGAUAUUAUUUUACUUGAAAAGUUAUAGAUUUCAAAAGCAUAAGAGUUUUUACUCUUUGUCUUCUGGUAAUUGUUGUAAGCCCAGUUAGAAGCUGUAU
rnacentral:lncRNA from 1 species